CCGCCGUUUGCGAGGCCCGGCGCUCUGCCGCUACCGCCUGCACGCGGUCCUCCCCAAACCCUAGUCUCUUUUGUUUCCCCAGCAUCUUCAUUGCCGCCGUCACUGCUUCCUUCCAGGACGCCGGUCGCCGUCGAAAUUCGUCGUAUCCGAUCAGCCUCCUUCGAUUCAUCGCGGCCAUACCUUCACCUUUCCCUCCGCGGCCUAUUUGAGCCCUCACCCGCUCGACUUCUCCACCGCACAGCGCUCCCGGCGACCACCUCCGACAUCCCGAGGAUCUCCUUGGCCCCCAGCGCCAACGGCAGGUCGUCGGCGAUGGGCAGAGCGGUCAAACAUGCCCACAGGCGGGUCCUUCCCCAUGAGCGGCUUCUUUUUCAAGGCUUCGCCUCAAGAUCUGCAGACGCUGACCUCUCCUCACCGUGUGCCUCUAGUGUCGCCGUUCGUCUUCUCAGCAUGACGGCCGCCGUGGCUGGCGGGACUCGGGAGCAAGAAGCGGCAGCGGCCGAACCUCCACGUCAAGUUGGCCUCACGCUAGCUGCAUGAGACUCCGGCAAUGGGAAGAAGAGACAUCGCCGCAGCAGAAGGUCACCAAGACGAACUCAUCUGACAGAGUCCUCCCGCUCGGGCAACAUUUCCAGAUGGUGCUUUUUGUUCAUUACUUUGCUGGCCAAGGCGGCCAACUGACCAAUCAGGUGAGUGCAAACAAAUCAGAUGUGUUAUUUCGGUCACCUUGAAGCUGCAGGCGGUAUGCACAUGGAUAGAUAUCAUUGACAUAGGGUUAGUGGACGCCCUCUGAAGGCUACGAGGCAGCAUCUGGGAAGGUGAAGCUGAUGGAGGGAGGGCGAUGUGGUGGAAGGAUCUCUCAUCGGCGGAGGCGUUCGUGGGGGCGGCGCCCAAAAGUCCAGGACGUCUGCAUCAUCUGCCUCGAGACCUUCUCCAGCAGCAACCCCUCUGCGGUGACCAUCUGCAAACACACUGUCCACCUCCAGGGCAUCCUUCAGCGGUUGCGUGGCUGGCUCAUUUGAAUAAUUUAGUCCACUAAACUACAUAUACAUGGUACGUUGUCAAUCGACACAAUCCUUACAUACCUUUGCUGUUCUUAUGAUCUUUUAUAGUCCAAUGUUUAUGAUCUUUUAUAGUCCAGUGUUUUAUAGUCAAUGGGCAUCAGAAUGGACUCUUUAAUGGACUCUUUCAAAGUAAGUUUAGGCUCUACUAAUUUAACUGCUCUUCGAUAAAGAUUCUUUACAGCAUGCAUGCAA